rnacentral:tRNA from 1 species
GGCUCCGUAGCUCAGAGGUUAGCGCACUGGUCUUGUAAACUAGGAGUCGUGAGUUCAAUUCUCGCUGGGGCCU